rnacentral:rRNA from 1 species
UACGGAGGGGGCUAGCGUUGUUCGGAAUUACUGGGCGUAAAGCGCACGUAGGCGGAUCUUUAAGUCAGGGGUGAAAUCCUGGAGCUCAACUCCAGAACUGCCUUUGAUACUGGGGAUCUCGAGUCCGGGAGAGGUGAGUGGAACUGCGAGUGUAGAGGUGAAAUUCGUAGAUAUUCGCAAGAACACCAGUGGCGAAGGCGGCUCACUGGCCCGGUACUGACGCUGAGGUGCGAAAGCGUGGGGAGCAAACAGG